rnacentral:tRNA from 1 species
ACCUGGGUGGCUCAGUCGGCUGAGCAUCCGACUUCAGCUCAGGUCACGAUCUCGCAGUUUGUGAGUUCAAGCCCCGCCUCAGGCU